UCAUUCUCAACUCAACCUACUGUGGGUUAGAUGAACGGAGUUCACAACAAUGAAGAAAAGGAUGGCGACGACGACGAUGAUGAUGAUGAAACCAAUUUCCAAGAAGAAUCCUCCUCAUGGAUUCUUCAGAUCAAUUGAUUCAAUGAAUCACCGAGUUUAUCGUGUUCAUGAUGAAACUUGAAGGAGUGAUGCUUCCAGAAUUGAGAUGCAAAUGUCUAACUCUAAAGUUUCAUGUAUUGGAGCAUAAUCUCUAUGGAAUAGCCAAUCUUUUGCACACAUCGCCUCUUUUAGAGUCACUCAACAUACUCAUGGGAACCCAGUUUAAUGAUUCCUCCUCCUGCUAGUUUGAGCUAAGUUAUUUUGCCGAAGUGGAUAACAUCAAUUUGCCGAGCUGCCUAAGAGAAUGUUUGAAGGAUUGGUCUGAAUCAAGCUUUUGUAAGCUUUUUGAACUUUCGAAGUUUCUACUAAAGAAUGCAGUGGCUUUGCAGAACCUUGUUAUCAUAGCAAAGAGGAGAAAAUGGUGUUAUUGUUCACAGAGCUGCGUGUUCUGACAUUUAUCACAAUUGGCUAGGAAAUUUUCAGACACCCUAAGAUCAUCAAAAAAAUUGUAUGAUUAUUUACCAAGAGGUUGCUUAGGAUGACUAGACUGGAAAGAAAUGAUUUUUGUAUAGGAUAAGUCUUUUUCUGAAAAUUAGCUUCAUGAUGUAAACUAGUAUUAUAAUAUGAAUUUUCUAUUUAUUCUCUAGGUUGUUCUUAGUGAAUUCGCACAUGCAGUUCAAUUUUUCGUUUAAUGCUUCACCAUUUGUAGA